AUGCACGCUGGCGGCAUGCCUAACCCAUGCAAGUCGAUCGGUAAGGCUCUUCGGAGUACACGAGAGGCGGACGGCUGAGUAACGCGUAGGAACACACCCUGCAGUGAGGGAUAAGACACCGAAAGGUGUUCUAAUACCGCAUACGGUCUUCGGAUUAAAGCAUUUAUGCGCUGAAGGAGUGGCCUGCGUCAUAUUAGAUAGUUGGUGAGGUAAUGGCUCACCAAGUCGAUGAUGUGUAGCUGGUCUGAGAGGAUGAUCAGCCAGACUGGAACUGAGACACGGUCCAGACUCCUACGGGAGGCAGCAGUGAGGAAUAUUUCACAAUGAGCGAAAGCUUGAUGGAGCAAUGCCGCGUGCAGGAUGAAGGCCCUCGGGUUGUAAACUGCUUUUAUAAGAGAAGAUUAUGACGGUAACUUAUGAAUAAGGGACGGCUAACUACGUG
rnacentral:rRNA from 1 species